UACAAAAAUACCAAGAUUCUGUGUUUUUGCAGCUUUUAUUAAUCUCAUCCAUGCCCAUGAUUAGUCAGAGUAAACUUUAGGUCAUUUCUGUGCACCAUUUAAUCAGCAAAGGUGUAAACAUAGAUGUUGGACUGUGAAUGGAUAGAAGAAGUGCUAAAGAUUAAUAAUCAUUUUCUAUUUGUUGUAGUGGCUGUUUUAAGGAUCUGGAGUUCCUGACGUCACAGCCUGGAUUUAAAUCCUACAUGAAAGUUCAAGCAUCAUGCCUCCCAGGUGGGCUGCAUAAAACCGAUCCCACUAGAGUCUCAGAUAUCCGAGGCUGCUUUCAAGUAAGUGUACAUUCAGAGCAGACGGGUCGUCUUAUCGCAACGCUGUCCUGUUAGUGUGUGUGGAUGGGUGGGAACGUUUUGUAGUCAACCUCAAAACAUUGUGGAGCAGCGUCCAUGUUUGUUUCUAAAAAGUGAGCAUGAGGGUCCGUUUGCAGUCCAUUUUGCAUUGUAAGUGUGACAAGGUCCAUGAAUAGGGCUGGCUACAUUCUUUGCAUUCCACAGUAAUAGACAUGAGCGUCCGCCAUUGCCCUGCAAAAUGAGAUGACAUCACUUAUCCAGAGAGCCCUCACACCCCGCCUCUCCACUGGCCACCUUGCUCAGCAAAUCCAAAAUGGCCAUCAUGCGUCCCACAAGCCACAUGCUAUACCGUCUACACACGAGUUUCUUUCCCCAUCCCUUAAAUAAACUAGGAGCGCCUCGGUUUGUCCUGAACACAUAAACAAACGUGUUGAAAAAAGACCUUAGAAAAACAAAAACAGUAACAUCUGCCUGUGUCACAGGUCAAGUUUAAAGUCUAAUUUCACAAAGAAAUUCACAAGUUUGUUAGUUUCUCCAAAAAAGUAACUUGAUAUCAAGAAUCAAAAAGUUAAUACAUUCUAGUAGCCUGCUAGCUGAAUCAGCUUCAGUCAAAGUUACGCUGUGCUACAGCCUCUCUUUUUUUUAAAAAAUGCUGUAAAAGCUUGUUGUCCCGUUCAGACAACAUCCCUCGUCUUUGUCGGCUUAACAGACAGCUAAAACACUGUUACAGCUCUUAGAGCAGUACUCUUUGUUAAAUCUUUAAAGUUGUCAGAAACAGUUAGGCGAAGGGGCUGAUGUGAAGAGUACGGAAGAGGAUUAGGGAACCUAACAGUUCUGACUUUAAUCUCGGAAUUCUGAGAUUGAAGUCAGAAUUCUGACUUUUUAUAAUCUAGAUAGAGAUAUAGUCUAGAUUUUUUUUUCUAGAUUUUAUGUUGAGAUAUCUAGAUAGAUAUAAUCUAGAUUCUUUUUCUAGAUUUUAUGUCGAGAUAUUAUCUAGAUAGAUAUAAUCUAGAUUCUUUUUCUAGAUUUUAUGUCGAGAUAUCUAGAUAGAUAUAAUCUAGAUUCUUUUCUAGAUUUUUUUCUAGAUUUUAUGUCGAGAUAUAAUCUGGAUUCUUUUUCUAGAUUUUUUUCCUAGAUUUUAUGUCGAGAUAUUAUCUAGAUAGAUAUAAUCUAGAUUUUUUUUUCUAGAUAUGUAGAUAGAGAUAUAGUCUAGAUUUUAUCUAGAUCAGAAUUCUGGGAUUAAAGUCUGAACUGUUUUAAAAAAAAUUCCUAGUGGCCCUAAUCCUCUUCCGUAGAAGAGAAAAGCGAGGGAUGGAGCUUAAAAACGGAGAGAUAAGAAGCUAAAGGCAGAGCAACUGAACAAAAAA